rnacentral:sRNA from 2 species
AUAUCUCUCUGUACGGGAAGGAUGAGAAGCUUCGACUAAGGUUCGAUUCGAGCGUCAGCGAGAAAGCGUUGCCGCAGGCA